GAUGAACGCUGGCGGCGUGCCUAAUACAUGCAAGUCGAACGAGUUCUCGUUGAUGAUCGGUGCUUGCACCGAGAUUCAACAUGGAACGAGUGGCGGACGGGUGAGUAACACGUGGGUAACCUGCCCUUAAGUGGGGGAUAACAUUUGGAAACAGAUGCUAAUACCGCAUAGAUCCAAGAACCGCAUGGUUCUUGGCUGAAAGAUGGCGUAAGCUAUCGCUUUUGGAUGGACCCGCGGCGUAUUAGCUAGUUGGUGAGGUAAUGGCUCACCAAGGCGAUGAUACGUAGCCGAACUGAGAGGUUGAUCGGCCACAUUGGGACUGAGACACGGCCCAAACUCCUACGGGAGGCAGCAGUAGGGAAUCUUCCACAAUGGACGCAAGUCUGAUGGAGCAACGCCGCGUGAGUGAAGAAGGCUUUCGGGUCGUAAAACUCUGUUGUUGGAGAAGAAUGGUCGGCAGAGUAACUGUUGUCGGCGUGACGGUAUCCAACCAGAAAGCCACGGCUAACUACGUGCCAGCAGCCGCGGUAAUACGUAGGUGGCAAGCGUUAUCCGGAUUUAUUGGGCGUAAAGCGAGCGCAGGCGGUUUUUUAAGUCUGAUGUGAAAGCCCUCGGCUUAACCGAGGAAGCGCAUCGGAAACUGGGAAACUUGAGUGCAGAAGAGGACAGUGGAACUCCAUGUGUAGCGGUGAAAUGCGUAGAUAUAUGGAAGAACACCAGUGGCGAAGGCGGCUGUCUGGUCUGUAACUGACGCUGAGGCUCGAAAGCAUGGGUAGCGAACAGGAUUAGAUACCCCGGUAGUCCAUGCCGUAAACGAUGAAUGCUAGGUGUUGGAGGGUUUCCGCCCUUCAGUGCCGCAGCUAACGCAUUAAGCAUUCCGCCUGGGGAGUACGACCGCAAGGUUGAAACUCAAAGGAAUUGACGGGGGCCCGCACAAGCGGUGGAGCAUGUGGUUUAAUUCGAAGCAACGCGAAGAACCUUACCAGGUCUUGACAUCUUUUGAUCACCUGAGAGAUCAGGUUUCCCCUUCGGGGGCAAAAUGACAGGUGGUGCAUGGUUGUCGUCAGCUCGUGUCGUGAGAUGUUGGGUUAAGUCCCGCAACGAGCGCAACCCUUAUGACUAGUUGCCAGCAUUUAGUUGGGCACUCUAGUAAGACUGCCGGUGACAGACCGGAGGAAGGUGGGGAUGACGUCAAAUCAUCAUGCCCCUUAUGACCUGGGCUACACACGUGCUACAAUGGAUGGUACAACGAGUUGCGAGACCGCGAGGUCAAGCUAAUCUCUUAAAGCCAUUCUCAGUUCGGACUGUAGGCUGCAACUCGCCUACACGAAGUCGGAAUCGCUAGUAAUCGCGGAUCAGCACGCCGCGGUGAAUACGUUCCCGGGCCUUGUACACACCGCCCGUCACACCAUGAGAGUUUGUAACACCCGAAGCCGGUGGCGUAACCCUUUUAGGGAGCGAGCCGUCUAAGGUGGGACAAAUGAUUAGGGUG
rnacentral:rRNA from 2 species